rnacentral:rRNA from 1 species
UACGGAGGGUGCAAGCGUUAUCCGGAUUUAUUGGGCGUAAAGAGCGUGUAGGCGGCUUUACAGGUCCGUUGUGAAAACUCGAGGCUCAACCUCGAGACGCCGGUGGAAACCGUAAGGCUAGAGUCCGGAAGAGGAGAGUGGAAUUCCCGGUGUAGCGGUGAAAUGCGCAGAUAUCGGGAAGAACACCCGUGGCUAAGGCGGCUCUCUAGUACGGUACUGACGCUGAGACGCGAAAGCGUGGGGAGCGAACAGG